rnacentral:lncRNA from 1 species
CUGGAGAAGGGAAUGGCAACCCACUCCAGUAUUCUUGCCUGGGAAAUCUCGCUACAGUCAAUGGGGUCACAAAGAGUUGAACACAGCUGAGUGACUAAUAGACAUACAUACACGCACAUACACAGUGUUCUGAACAUGUUUAAGGUAGGCAAGCCUAUGCUAUGAUAUAGAUUUAUUUCAUUAAAUGCAUUUUCAGCUUACGAGGGCUUUAUCAGGAGAUGAUGUCAUCAUAAAUUGAGGUGGAUUUAUAUGUGCAUACACACAUGUUUAUGUAUAAAUGUAUUAGCAAUUUUUUUCAAGUGUGUCUGUGUUAAUAUAUAUCUAUUUACAGAUGCCUAUUACCAUGCACAUAAAGUUUUGGAAUCUGCAUAGCCACAGAUAUUGAACAUUUUUUUGGUCAAUAAAUAUCCUAUCUCAAAUUUAGUUUUAACUGCUGUGAUCCAGGAAGAAGGAAGAUACUAGGGUAGGUGUCAGGCCUGAUUGGCUGUAGGAUGGUAGGGCUGGAAAAGGCUGAAGGGAACAGAGAGAAGUUUAAUUCUGAAAUGCCAGUCUUAAGAGGUCUGAGUUUGAUCGUGUAUCUGAUUUAUCUGUCUUGGCAACACAAGGAUUCCCUUGAAGGAGAUACUAUGUGUUAUAGUUCCCUAUCUACCUGGCCCUUAUUUUUUCUUCUUACUCCUAUUUUUAUCAGAAUGCUUUUCGUUACCAGGCUGUGUCCAUGUCUGGCAUGCUUUGAACAGUGCCCGCUGCCAAGCUCUAUUUCAUGUCCUGUCGUGAUUAAGGUGGCUUUGAACAUAUAGUACUGGAAGAUGAAUGUGGAUGGAUGUAAUGCACCCACUGGGGCAGAAAAAUAAUCAAGAUGGCACAAGAUUUUGAACUCAGUGACUACACAUACAAUCUCUAAUCUAGAACGUAUAAUUGACAUACAUGCUGAUAAUGGGGCAAUAUCUUAUAUCCCUUCAUAUAAACAAUGUCCCUGGAAAUCUAAAUAAUGUUAUACCAGCUACUCUGAAAUGGAUAGCAAGGCCCUCUCUCUCAUUAUUGUAGAAUACAAGCACAUCUUAUAAUAAAAAUGACUUUCUCUUGAGUUUCUUGAUUGAGAGUCUGUAUUGUGAAUGUGGAAAUUUUACUAAUAUGAAGUACAAUACUUGGUGAAUUUUUGGAGUUUGAGAUUCUUCUCAUGUUAAAAAGAAAAAAAAAACAUGAAAAAGAGAAUUAGGUUAGAACAUAUAAUUUGAGGCAUUUAGUACAUUUUGGAGGUGAAGGUAAGUAUUCCUUAGGCUUUGGAUCAGAAAAGCUAAUGGAAGUUCUUCUCCAAGGUGAAAGA